UGCACCCUCUCGUCGAGAGGAACAUGGCGUGGGGAGCCUCAACCGUCACGAAGCGUGAACUCUUGGCGAAAAGGAGCACUUUCGUGUCCGCUGGUUAACUUCAAUUUCUACCGUUUCAAAAAGGCUGGAGGGAUGUGGCUCCUUCGGGAGUGUUAUAACCUUUAGCGGAAUGUGGUGGUCGGGAUUGAGGAUUGCAACGAAUACCUUUAGGGCUGUUCCACCUGGCCUCUCUUUGGUAUCCUGGUGACGACAGCUUGCUGACGUUGUUAGGAUUCGCCAUUGAACAGGCUAGAGUGUGAGCAAAUUCGUUAAGGAUGUUAACGUAAUGGCUUU
rnacentral:rRNA from 1 species